rnacentral:lncRNA from 1 species
GAACGGCGCGCGAGUUUUGUGUAAAGUGACGCUUAAGUUUUCUGUACAUGUGUGUUGUUAACCAGUCAGUCAGUCAGUCAGUCAGUCAGUCAGUCAGUUUAGUCAGUUUGUUAAGUCAGUUAGUCAAGUCAGUUAGUUAAGUCAGUUAACGAUAGUAGUGGUUUAUUCUUCUUUUGUUUUCCUGUCUCUUGGAAUAUAUAAAAGCAACGAGUGAAUUAUGUGUUCGUUCGUGUGAAGAAGACGCGAAGGAGGGGAAGAAAAGUGUCGAGUGCAAUUUUAUAGUGUGAUUCGAUGGCUGAUUAUAUUAUCGCGUGACUUUGGUGACAAAAGGAGAAGAAAAGGAAGAAAGGAAGGAAGGAA